CAUGCAAUGAAUAAUCUGAUGUUGGGGGAAAACACACACCUUGGACAUUUCCACCACGGUGCUAGAGAACCUGCAAAUUUGCGCACUGGAUGGUCUGAUCGUUGCAACCAGACUAUCCAGUGCUUUGAUUUUUCCCAGAAGACCUUUGAAUACCGAUCUAGGGAAGGAAACCCCCAGGACUGAUGUAUUUAGGGUUAUUUUAGUGUUGGCAAAAGAAGAACAUCUGGAUGAUAUUUGGACAAAAAGAGAAAUAAAUAAAAAGGCAG
rnacentral:lncRNA from 1 species